UACGAAGGGGGCUAGCGUUGCUCGGAAUCACUGGGCGUAAAGGGUGCGUAGGCGGGUCUUUAAGUCAGGGGUGAAAUCCUGGAGCUCAACUCCAGAACUGCCUUUGAUACUGAGGAUCUUGAGUUCGGGAGAGGUGAGUGGAACUGCGAGUGUAGAGGUGAAAUUCGUAGAUAUUCGCAAGAACACCAGUGGCGAAGGCGGCUCACUGGCCCGAUACUGACGCUGAGGCGCGACAGCGUGGGGAGCGAACAGG
rnacentral:rRNA from 1 species